AAAGAGAUUGAAAGUCAGAUUGAAAUUCAGAUAAAGAGAUGAUGAACUGGCAGGUAGACUGAUAUGCAGUGUAUGUGCUGCCGAAGCGAGCACCACAUGGGUGAAAAUUUAAGCCACUAACCUCAUGACAUGCCCAGGGAAUCUCCCAUGUGUGGAAUGAGAGAAGAAAGGAAUCUAGGAGGGCCUUAUGUGGAAUAAAGACAUUCAAGGGACAGAUAGAUAAAAAGAACCUGCAAAGGAAUCUAAGAAGUGACCAGAGAAGCAGGAGAAAAAAAUGGAAAAGAAAAAUGGAAAAGCCAAUGGAAGAGUAUAUAUCAAGAAGAAUCAAUAGUGCUAAAUGUUGCUAAGAGGGGAAAUAAAAUAAAAGUAGAAAGUA